rnacentral:rRNA from 1 species
UACGGGGGGGGCGAGCGUUGUUCGGAAUUACUGGGCGUAAAGGGCGCGUAGGCGGUUCGCUAAGUUGGAUGUGAAAACUCUGGGCUCAACCCAGAGCCUGCAUCCAAAACUGGCGGGCUAGAGUUCUGGAGGGGGUAGCGGAAUUCCUGGUGUAGCGGUGAAAUGCGUAGAUAUCAGGAGGAACACCGGUGGCGAAGGCGGCUUCCUGGCGCGAUUCUGACGCUGAGGUGCGAAAGCGUGGGGAGCGAUCCGG